GCUGCUCUGAGCCUCGGACCCCGGACCGAGGUCUGUAGCCAACCUGCCUUCGGGCAGAGGUGGCCCCAGGGCGCCACGCCGGGUCGGCCGGAGAAAUGAAAGUGGAAGCAAGCCUGGGUCGUGUUCGCUGGGGAAAAUUGUGACCCACACAACCAGGAAGCAGCAAUUCAGGUGUGGAUGGGGUUCACUUCUUGGACAUUCACACUGUAUGCCCGGAGUCUGGAUUCCAUAGGGCAUCCAGAGGAUAUAGUGCAGGCUGCUGGCUCUAAGACAAACUGUUGGGUGAGGAAGUUCCAGCCAACCAAUCCCAGCUCCAAUGGAGUGUGUCUCCCGGCCUAGUUCUGUAGCUGAGUUGUCAUCUGUCCCUUCACCUGCUGCCUGCCCGGCUCUCAUACAUUAGCCCCCUCUCCUCCUUACCAUGGGCAAGAACAAACACACACAGGAUGGGAGGAGAGCUUCGGCUACACCGGCAACACACAGUUCUUCAUGCAGCUGUGGGGCCAGGCACAGACAAUCCAGGGCAAUGGGUAACCCAGCAUUUGGCUCCAGGGGUCAUGAGCCUGCGGAAUUCUCAGCUCUCGCAAUCAAACAUGGAAGCCAUCUGGACUCCAUGUGUUUGGGAAGGCCUCUGCUUUCCUCUCUUGUCCCUCCAGGUCCUCUUUCAAGACAUGCUAGAAACAGCUAGUCUCCGCACAGAAAUCUCCCCUAGAAGCAGGCAAUAAUCAAAUCCUUGAUCUUCAGAUAUCUUCCAGUUGGGUUGCCUGGGACCAAAAUGCAGAGAAAACUUGCAACAAAGAGACAGAAGAAACAUUGCUGCCAAUGCCCUGUGCGACAUUGGGGAGGUCAACUUGCCAGAUGAGAACACAAAGGCUUAGAGAGGCUGAGCAACUUGUCCAGAGGCAGAGCUGGGAUUCUAAUUUAGGCCUCAUUCUUAACAUCUAUGAUACUGUCUCCUCAGUGUCCUCAUUUGUAAAAUGGGAGUAAUGUUAUCCUCAUAGUCUUGUUGGAGACCAUCAAAUGGAAGAAACUGAAAUGGUGGAAGCAGUCUGUUGGGAGUCAUACACCAAGUGAGGUCCAGCAAAACACCUCUCUGCUCCCUCCCUUUCCCUGCAAAAUCAGUGUCAAAAUAUCAGAUCUGUCAGCUACUUCCCACCAACCAGAGGCAAGGCUGAGAUGAGAGAAUAUAAAUGUGGGCUGAAGAAAUAAGAAUGCGAGGUGACGAUUCGUGCCAAGUCACGAAGGUAGGAACAAAAACAACAAAAGUGAUCUGGGGAUCAUGGUGACCCAGAAGUAGUGAUAUUUCAAAUUGAGGCAAGGAUUUUGGGGGCGGGACAGGAUGGCUGAAAUGGUAAAUGAAACACUUGAUGGGAUACCACAUA